GCUUACGGUCACACACCCAGAGCAGGGGCAGCCUGGCCAGCUGAGUCCCAGCCUAAGCGCAUUUCUGGAGCAGAUGCAGGCUGCUUUUCACUUUUUGCAGGGAUCAAAGUGGCUUGCAUGGGCAUUUUCUACUUGGCAGGAUGAUGGGACUUGUACUGGCAUGCACAUGUCCUGCCCCAGCUGCCCAGAGCUGAGGAGAUAGAUGAGAUGGCAGCCCUGACAGACUUUGGCUGAAAAUAGGGGCCGAUGCGUGGACAAGGAAAUAGAGACAGAAGCCAUGGGAGCAAGAAUGAGUGUGCAGCAGAUGCAUCAUGUACUGGAGUUUGUUUGCAGUCUCCUCAGACAGGUGGGACCAAACACUUUCAGAAGCUGCUUCCUUCCCCUGCUGAGCUGAGGGAUGCCAGUGUCAGAGCACACCUGAAACUAGUUGCUUUGCCUUUAGGUAACUGAAGAGAGAAGAAUUGCAUCACACUUUCAGACCAGAAGUUUGAAAUGGAUUUAGGCACCUGUAAAAUGUAGCCCUCUGGCAUCAUCCGCCAGCUCCCAG
rnacentral:lncRNA from 1 species